rnacentral:rRNA from 2 species
GUCUUAAUAGGGCGACUAAGUCAGAUGCUGCAGACCCGAAACGAAGUGAUCUAUCCAUGGGCAGGUUGAAGCUGGUGUAAGAGCCAGUGGAGGACCGAACCGAUAGGCGUUGAAAAGCCUCCGGAUGACCUGUGGAUAGGGGUGAAAGGCCAAUCAAACUUCGUGAUAGCUGGUUCUCUCCGAAAUAUAUUUAGGUAUAGCCUCUAGAAGUAGCAUGUAGGGGUAGAGCACUGAAUGGGCUAGGGCUGCUCACCGCGGUACCAAACCCUAUCAAACUUCGAAUACUACAUGUGGAAUCUAGGGAGUCAGGCGUAGGGUGAUAAAAUCAUAUGUCGAGAGGGGAACAACCCAGACUAACAGCUAAGGUCCCAAAGUUACAUCUAAGUGGAAAACGAUGUGGAGUUACUGUGACAACCAGGAGGUUGGCUUAGAAGCAGCCAUCCUUUAAAGAAAGCGUAACAGCUCACUGGUCUAGUGAUUCUGCGCGGAAAAUAUAACGGGGCUAAGAUGUACACCGAAGCUUUAGAUUCAUAUUAUAUAUGAGUGGUAGGAGAGCGUUCUAUUCAGCGUAGAAGAUGUACCGGUAAGGAGCGUUGGAGCGGAUAGAAGUGAGCAUGCAGGCAUGAGUAGCGAUAAUUGAGGUGAGAAUCCUCAACGCCGAAAACCCAAGGUUUCCUACGCGAUGCUCGUCAUCGUAGGGUUAGUCGGGACCUAAGUCGAGUCCGAAAGGGGUAGACGAUGGUAAAUUGGUUAAUAUUCCAAUACCAGCAUAUAAGCGCGAUGUGGGGACGCAUAGAGUUAAUCGAGGUCACUGAUGGAAGUGUGGCUCGAAGGAAGUAGGUUGAUACUUAGGCAAAUCCGGGUAUCACGAGACCGAGAUCUUACAGGCCGAACAAUCUUUUAGGAGAGCGUUUGGAAUCGAUGAUACUGUCGUGCCAAGAAAAGCCACUAAGUAUAUUAUAUGUUGCCCGUACCGUAAACCGACACAGGUGGGUGGGAUGAGUAUUCUAAGGCGCGUGGAAGAACCCUGGUUAAGGAACUCUGCAAACUAGCACCGUAUCUUCGGUAUAAGGUGUGCCUCCUCUGGUAUAUGAACUUGCUUCAAAAAGCUAGAAAGGUUGCAACAAAGAGUCCCUCCCGACUGUUUACCAAAAACACAGCACUUUGCUAACACGUAAGUGGAUGUAUAAGGUGUGACGCCUGCCCGGUGCUCGAAGGUUAACUGAUGAUGUUAGAGCAAUCGAAGCAUUUGAUUGAAGCCCGAGUAAACGGCGGCCGUAACUAUAACGGUCCUAAGGUAGCGAAAUUCCUUGUCGGUUAAAUACCGACCUGCAUGAAUGGCGUAACGAGAUGGGAGCUGUCUCAACCAGGGAUCCAGUGAAAUUGUAGUGGAGGUGAAAAUUCCUCCUACCCGCGGAAAGACGGAAAGACCCCGUGCACCUUUACUACAGCUUGACACUGUAGCUUGGAUAUUCAUGUGCAGGAUAGGUGGGAGGCUAAGAUGACUAGACGCCAGUAGAGUCGGAGCCACCCUUGAGAUACCACCCUUGAAUAUUUGAGUUACUAACUAGGUAGAGUAAACCUCUACUAGGACAAUGUCUGGUGGGUA